rnacentral:rRNA from 1 species
CCUACGGGAGGCAGCAGUGGGGAAUAUUGCGCAAUGGGCGAAAGCCUGACGCAGCGACGCCGCGUGAGGGAUGAAGGUCUUCGGAUCGUAAACCUCUGUCAGCAGGGAAGAACGGUCACUGUGCUAAUCAGCAGUGAAUUGACGGUACCUGCAAAGGAAGCACCGGCUAACUCCGUGCCAGCAGCCGCGGUAAUACGGAGGGUGCGAGCGUUAAUCGGAAUUACUGGGCGUAAAGCGCUCGUAGGCGGUAUGUCAAGUCAAGGGUGAAAUCCCCGCGCGCAACGUGGGAACUGCCUUUGAAACUGGCAAACUGGAGUGUGUGAGAGGAUAGUGGAAUUCGAGGUGUAGGAGUGAAAUGCGUAGAGAUCUGGAGGAACAUCAGUGGCGAAGGCGACUAUCUGGCACAUAACUGACGCUGAGGAGCGAAAGCGUGGGUAGCAAACAGGAUUAGAUACCCUAGUAGUC